rnacentral:SRP_RNA from 1 species
GCUGGGUGUGGUGGCGGGCACCUGUAAUCCCAGCUACUGGGGAGGCUGAGGCAGAAGAAUCACUUGAACCCGGGAGGCAGAGGCUGCAGUGAGCCAAGAUGGCGCCACUGCACUCCAGCCUGGGUGACAGGGUGAGACUCUGUCUCAA